rnacentral:rRNA from 1 species
AACGUAGGACGCAAGCGUUAUCCGGAGUUACUGGGCGUAAAGCGCGGGCAGGCGGUCUGGCCAGUCUGAUGUGAAAUCUCCUCGCUCAACGGGGAGCAGCCAUUGGAAACUACCAGACUGGAGUCUGACAGAGGUAGGCGGAAUUCCGGGUGGAGUGGUGAAAUGCGUAGAGAUCCGGAGGAACACCAGAGGCGAAGGCGGCCUACUGGGUCAGUACUGACGCUGAGCCGCGAAAGCCAGGGGAGCGAACGGG